AUGUAGAUUCCUACAACAUAGCAUUAAUGCACCAAAUCCCAUUAGAACUCCACAAUAAAGCGUGCUCAGGCUAGAGUAGAACUUGGAUGGGUGAUCGGCUAGGAAUUCCUAGUGUUUUACAUG
rnacentral:rRNA from 1 species